rnacentral:lncRNA from 13 species
ACGUGGGAUAAAUUUUUUUAUUAUAAUUCUUUUCCUUAAAUUACAUUUAAUGAAAGUAUGCAUUAUUCAAACAACGACGGUUGUUUACGAAGUAACAUACGAUUAAAAGGAAUAACAAUUAGCAAUAUAAAUAAAAUUGAAAGAGCGAAACUGCGAUUUUUCCAACAGUGAGUCAAUUGACAUCGAUGUAUUGUCAACAUGACACAGCUUUGAUCAGCAAAAUAAACAUCAUUGCGAGUGUCAUGCGGAAAUUCAAUUAAAGCAACCAAAUGUAAUACUAAAGUGCCUUUGAUUUUUGCACAGUUAAUCAAACCAGGCACCGGCACGGACCAGUAUCCAGCGUGUUGUUCGUUGGUGAUGUCAUAUUUUCUGAAAAAUAUAAUUUGUAAUUAAUAAAUAAUUAUAUCCAUUGUUAAUGAAUUAAUUUUGUUAAAUAGAAAAAUUUGUUAUAAUAAA